rnacentral:rRNA from 1 species
AGCAGCCGCGGUAAUUCCAGCUCCAAUAGCGUAUAUUAAAGUUGUUGCAGUUAAAAAGCUCGUAGUUGAAUUUCGGGAUCAAUAUGUCGGUCGUGCCAUUGGUACGCACUGGCAUUAUUGGUUUCUACCUUCUGAAGAACCUCGAUGUCAUUAAUUUGGUGUCUUGGGAAAUCAGGACUGUUACUUUGAAAAAAUUAGAGUGUUUAAAGCAAGCUCGCGCUUGAAUACAUUAGCAUGGAAUAAUGAAAUAGGACGUUUGAUUCUAUUUUGUUGGUUUCUAGGAUUGACGUAAUGAUUAAUAGGGAUAGUUGGGGGCAUUAGUAUUCAAUUGUCAGAGGUGAAAUUCUUGGAUUUAUUGAAGACUAACUACUGCGAAAGCAUUUGCCAAGGAUGUUUUCAUUAAUCAAGAACGAAAGUUAGGGGAUCGAAGACGAUCAGAUACCGUCGUAGUCUUAACCAUAAACUAUGCCGACUAGGGAUCGGAUGAUGUUAAUUUUUUAAUGACUCAUUCGGCGCCUUACG